rnacentral:lncRNA from 1 species
AUGAAGCAGAUAAGAAGAGACUUGUGUAGUGGCAGAGCUUUCACCACAGUGGACGUCUGUACUCCUGCUUCCAGGAAGCAGAACACCAAAUGGAGCUGGCUCCUUUCAAGCCCCAACUCAGCUGAAGGCAGAGUCCCUGCCUCAGGGAUGUCAUCACAAUCUGGAGCCUGGCAUGGGGACCACACACAGGUGCCGAGGUCAGGAGGAACGGGUCCAGAAGCAGGGGUAUGUCUGGGGGCUGAGAGGCUGCGGCAGGUGAGGUUUGACUCCGAAGGGCACUUUGGGAACGCACCUCCGCUGGCAGGGUGACGGCACUGGGUUAGAAUAGGCAUUUGUAAGCUGAGAAAAUCGAGACAAGAUGCGGAACGAAAUGCCAGUCAUUUCUGUAUCUGUGAAUUCUUAAUGUGCGGAAUAAAACGUUAGCAUGUAACA